UGUGUGUGUGUAAGAGAGCGAGCGAGAGAGACGCCAGCCGUUGUGAUGAUGUUAACAUUCUCUGGGUCUACACCAGUGGCCCUUUCUGCCUGCAUUUUUAUUACAACAUAGUCCUAACACUGCAUUUCACUGUCAGGCACCUCCGUCCACUCCACUCCUGCGCACUCCUCCCGGCUGUGUCUCCUGUCUUUUUUGGGUCCCUUUUGGAAAUGUGGGCUCCUCAGAGUAUUUGGAGCCACCUUCCCCCCAACACCUCCACCUCUAGGGGCCUGGUCCUUUGGGAGUGGGCAGGGGGCCUAUGAAAAGCACCUAGCACCCACGGAAGACAAUGACAUCAUGUGGGGCCAAGUCCGAUGUCCUCCAUCACACACUAUUGCCCAGCUUCCAUGGGCCUUGCAAGUUUAAGGGGAAAAAAAAUGGGAAGCCAUUUCUGAGAAAA
rnacentral:lncRNA from 10 species